AAGAAUGGCUGAUGUGCCCCACGCGUCACGGCACCCCACAGAAGAAGAGGGAAAGUGCCUUACGGAGCCCAAGGCGGUGAACCUGUGAGUGUUUCCACAUGGCCUAAAGAAGCUUCUUGCAGGAGGUCAGCUCUCCGUCCUGUCCUACUCAGAGGGGCAGGAGCAGCCUGCUGCCUUGCCCCUCCCCACGGCAGGAGGGGUGAGGGCUGGUGACCCAGCUCAGUUUUGCUUCUGAUGCUCUGAAGCCUUGGAGGUCCCUUACACUCAGAAGAAAGAGAAGUAUGGAUGAGCCCAAGGACUGCCCCCUUGCUGGCCAUGGAAGCGCAGCCAGCUGAGCACCCAGAGCAGUUCCCAAAGCUAGAAGGAGCAGCAGAAAAGAAGCCAGAGCAGGGCAUGGCUGGGCUUCAUUUCCCCGUGAGCACGCAGAGGAAAAAGUGCUGAGCCCACCACCUGGAAACCCGGAUCGGGGCUUUGCAAACAGGUCUCCCCUGCUCAUCCGGUUACCGGUGUGAAUUUGGCAUGCCUCCUGUCGCUUCCUCAAGCAGACCACGUCAGUAAGACCUGCUGCCCCUGCCAUCAGUCCCGACUGGUUUCACCUCUAGCUGAACCUCACUGUGAAGUAUUAGAAGAAGCCUUCCUCUGUCUCUGCACGUACACACUAUCGAGCCACCCGGUGUUUAUUCAGCACAGGUUGUUGGGGGGGGUUUUUGCACCACAGAUGUGUUCCUGCCUUUCCACGCAGGCCAAAAUCCUGCCGCAAACAGGCGAGCUUUGCUGUGGUAGUGCAUCCUGCAGGACAGGACUCUUGCUCUGACCAGUUCUGACAAGAGCAGAGGGGUCUGUCUCAGAGCACUGGUCUGCUUACAGCCUUCGUCUGGCUCCCACCACAACCAGCAGAAGGUAAAAAAUUCAGCGCGAGCUGUUAACCACAAGUACAUGGAUGCAGGUUCUGGCUCAGAAAAUCCCUAAUCCGCAGCUUGCCAGAGAGCUGGAAGGUGCGAGCACAGAAGGAUGUCCCUAACAUCUCAUAUUCUUGUAUACUUCCUUGGGUCACUGCUGGAGACAGGAUCUGGGCUAGACAGGCCUCUGGGCUGACCUACGACAGCCACUCCUGUGCCAGGGAAAGAGCACAUCAAUCUUGCAGGAGGCAGUUAGGAAAUCACUUUCCUCAGUUCACACCCCCCCAUGGGAAAACUGUUUGCUGAUCCCCAGCAGCUUGAUGGCUGGGGCUCCGUCCAGGAAGCGGGAGGUGUGUGUCCCUGCACGAGGGCUGGUGAUUUUCAAGCCCUCACGCUGCUGGCACUGGAGUCACCAGAGGGACACAAUUGCUUCUCUCCCGUGUGGCAUGAAUGAGCGUUUGCAGCUGUGGGUCCCACAAGCUCUCUGUGCACAGUGCAGGGAACCCUGCGAGAUCUCCUCCCGCCAAGGUAUCCCAGGUCUUUAGAUGGACACGCUCAUGCAAUGAGGUGACACACAGGGAACAGCCUCAGCUCUGGGCUGAUCAUUACCCUGAAAUGCCUUUGGGAGAUCCACAUCUAUACCGGAUCUACAAUUAAGAUAUCACAGUGUUUUUCCUUUAUGUUUUUUAACUGAGUUAUACUGCUAUGAAGUUAAACGUUACAUAGCUACAUAAAUACAGUUGGACUUGA